rnacentral:rRNA from 1 species
UACAGAGGGUGCGAGCGUUAAUCGGAAUUACUGGGCGUAAAGCGCACGUAGUCGGCUUUGCAAGUCGGUUGUGAAAUCCCCGGGCUCAACCUGGGAACUGCAUCCGAGACUGCAUUGCUAGAGUAUGGGAGAGGGAAGCGGAAUUUCUGGUGUAGCAGUGAAAUGCGUAGAUAUCAGAAGGAACAUCAGUGGCGAAGGCGGCUUCCUGGACCAAUACUGACGAUCAGGUGCGAAAGCGUGGGGAGCAAAACAGG